AGUGCUUGUGUUCCUGAGUGUAGGUUCUGAGCUAUUAGGUUACUACAGACUACAGAGAUACAACGUGAAAUCUCCACCUCUUUAUGCCUGGGGAGGAAUUGCUGCCUAAGGAUGCCAGUGGAAACAUUAUUUUUGAUACUGUGGAUCUUCGUGACACAUGGGAGGCCCUGGAGAAGUGCAAAGAAGCAGGUUUAACCAAGUCCAUCGGGGUGUCCAAUUUCAAUCACAAACUGCUGGAACUCAUCCUCAACAAGCCAGGGCUCAAGUACAAGCCCACCUGCAACCAGGUGAGCCGUUAGCCCACCGGGGCCUUCUCUGACUUUCUGCUCUUUACACACUUCCUGCUUAAUCAUGCUUCCAAGUUUCUGGCUUUAUAUCACCUGUGUAGAUGACAGCUACUUUCAUAGAAAUAGAAAAUACUAGAGAAAAACAGUUUGAGUGGAGUAGAAGAGCCUGACUUCAGUUCUUUGGGGAUGGGUGUGAAGUUCCUAUGAGACAGCCAAGCGGAGGCAGAGUUGGGAGGUGGUCGCUUUGGUCUGGAGCUCAGGGGGUGGAGGUGGAGACACAGUGUUUGAAAUUAUUGCUGUAUAGAUGGUAACAACUCACAGACAAGGAUUAGCUCUCCUAGGGAAAGUUCAUGGAAUGAAAAGGAACAGGCAGGAAAGUUCACAGGAGAGGGUGAGGCAGAGAGGCACUGGCAAGGAGAUUGAACAGGAGCUGCCAGACAGGUGGAGACAGCCAGGAGACUGUGGUGUCGGGAGCCAAAGAAAGAGCAUUGAAGUGGCUUGAGUCAGACAUAGGUAGGUCCUACUGUGAGCAAACACUCCAAUAGGGAAAGAUAAAAGUGGCUGGAUUUAGUGGCAUGGAGGUUAUGGGAAGCCAUGCAGGGCCUGAUCCAGAGUGGUAAGCACUAAAGCCAGAUCAGAGGAAAGGAGUGAGAAAGAGGAGGUGUAUAAAUCGUAAUCAAAACAUAUGAUUUUAAAAGAAACAUCCAAUAUAGCCAAAUAUCAAACAUGAUUUAUGACAUUGUUAAGUUUAAAGCUUUGUGUAGACCAUUUUGAUAAUUAUACAAAAAGCAGUUCAAAAAUGUAUACUCUGUCUUAGUUUUAUAUUUCUAGGGAUAUUUGUA
rnacentral:lncRNA from 1 species